rnacentral:SRP_RNA from 1 species
GGCGGGGGGCUGCGCGGCGUGCCGGCCGCGCGCCGCCGAAAGGCGGACCCAGGCUAGGGAGCCCGAAACUGGGGCCGGGCGGCGCCUCCUGCGGCGUCCCGUCUUGGCUUACCGAUGAGCACCGGUCCAGGGGGGCGCCGGUCCCCAGGCUACCCCGGCCGUAGGGCCGGGGGGACUUGGGUAUGCGGGGAACAGGCGGAGGUCCGGGAGGGAGCACGCCUAACCCGUAGCCGGCGCGUUCCCUGGGGCGCCGGUGGGAGAGACGCCCAGGCGGGCGCCGUAAGGAGACGCCGUCGGUCCCAGGUUGCCGCCG